UCCCCUCUACUUCCUCUCCCUCACUUCUCAGCGCUCUUAGAUCGACAACCACAGCUGUUCCUCAGGGGGAAGAUGGCGCAGCCGCACAGCUCGGCGGCGGGCGGGCGGCAACUUCUCCCAGCGGUGGAAGAAUGCGUCGGCGCAGAUAAGCUGCAGCUUCCUGUACCUCUCCCGCUCACUGGUAAGCCGAAUCUCCCUCCCUCUUGCGCUCUAAUUUCCCUCACACGCUCUCUCUUGAUUUUUUCCUGCCGUUCUCCAUGGAUCUCACUCACCCAGAUCACUUACCACGAGCGAUUGGGCAUGAUUCAGACGCCAAAGGGAUGUUUUUUGGACACCUAAUCUGUAAAGCGGAUAUCACACAGAUCUAGGACAAAUCAUCUGCUGUGGUGUCGUGCAUGCAGCGCUUUGGCGCUUAAGCAACACCAAAGUGA
rnacentral:lncRNA from 1 species